AGCACCAAAGGCAUCGCCAGGCGCGUGACU
rnacentral:sRNA from 1 species